rnacentral:lncRNA from 1 species
GUUGUCUGGAGCAGUGAAGGAAUGGAUGGCUUCCUAACUUGGCAGCCUUUAGGGGCAUCGCUAUGUGUAACGAGUUCUGGAAACCCAUUCUUUAAUUACUUCACACAUUGGAAUUACUUUGAGAAUAAUGCGGUGUGGUGAUCCAGACAUCCCUCCUUCUCAGAAGGACCCAUUUUGUGCGUCAGUCUUCUGUGUUCUAUUCGUGACACAUUCUCUGUUGGAGAAUCAUCCGUUUUCCAGUGGUGGAUGGUGCCCUCUGGUCACUGGAGAUGGAGUUUUCUGUGUGCAGGUUUCAAGUUUCACGUUCAGCUAUCUAGUCCACAGGAGACUGUUGUUCAGCUGGAUCUGUUGUUAUGGUGGGAGAUGUACUUUGCUCCUUUGCCCGCUUUCUGAGCAGUUCUGGUCCAGCCUGAAAUGUGAGAGUAAACACUGCUGGGUCACCCAGCUCUAGAUGGCAGUUCAGGCUGAACAGGAACACCCGGGAGUCCGCUCUUGGCAGCCUGCAGGCAGAUGCUGUCUAGCUCACGGACUCUCUUAGGAGGAUGCGUGUUAAAGUCAGGUUUCACAGUGUGUACUUCUGCUGGCUGGCUGUGUAGUCUACGAGAUGCCGUCUACCAUUAGAAACAGCUCCCUGCAUAGAGAAAGGUCCAGAACAAAGCCACACGCUUGUUUAUUACCAUGUGGUUCAUUUUUAAAAUCCCUUUGUGUUAUUGAACUGUGGACACCCUGGCGUAGACUAAAUUCAGAGGAAGAAAUGUAACCGGACGUGACAGGCUAGGGAUGCAGAGCUCUUAAUGAGUGUGGGUGAGGCCUUGGGUCAGGCACUGGACAUGCCACCAUUUGUGGUUUCUUGUGAGUCCCCCUCGAGAUGGCACUGCUGUGUUUUAUGUUACGAGUGGCAGCAUCGGAGAUUGUUUUCAGAGAUUAGAAAUGUGAUGUCAUCUUAUUUGUGCCUUGUAUUUUAUGAAUAUUUUGCAGGUUCCAAAAUGAUCUAUUUUCCCUAAAAUUACAUAGCGUGUUGA